AGCGAACGUUAGCGGCGCGCCUAACACAUGCAAGUCGCACGAGAAAGGGAGCGAUCCCCGGUACAGUGGCGCACGGGUGAGUAACACGUGGAUAACCUUCCCUGGAGUGAUGGAUAACCUUCCGAAAGGAGGGCUAAUACAGCAUAGGACCACGGGGCCUUCGGGCUCUGCGGUGAAAGCAGGCCUCUGUUCACAAGCUUGCGCUCUUGGAUGGGUCCGCGGCCCAUCAGCUAGUUGGCGAGGUAAUGGCUCACCAAGGCGACGACGGGUAGCUGGUCUGAGAGGAUGGCCCAGCCACACUGGAACUGAGACACGGUCCAGACUCCUACGGGAGGCAGCAGUGGGGAAUCUUGCGCAAUGGGCGAAAGCCUGACGCAGCGACGCCGCGUGGGUGACGAAGGCCUUCGGGUCGUAAAACCCUGUGGGGAGGAACGAACCAACCUUCAGCUAAUCUCUGAGGGUCCUGACGGUACCUCCUUAGCAAGCACCGGCUAACUCUGUGCCAGCAGCCGCGGUAAGACAGAGGGUGCGAACGUUGCUCGGAAUUACUGGGCGUAAAGCGCGUGUAGGUGGCCAGGCGAGUCGGGUGUGAAAGCCCGGGGCUCAACCCCGGAAGGGCACUCGAUACUACGUGGCUGGAGUCCUGAAGAGGAGAGCGGAAUUCCCGGUGUAGAGGUGAAAUUCGUAGAUAUCGGGAGGAACACCAGUGGCGAAGGCGGCUCUCUGGGCAGAGACUGACACUGAGACGCGAAAGCGUGGGAAGCAAACAGGAUUAGAUACCCUGGUAGUCCACGCCGUAAACGAUGACGACUGGGUGUCGCAGGUAUUGACCCCAGCGGUGCCGAAGCUAACGCGUUAAGUNGUCCGCCUGGGAAGUACGGCCG
rnacentral:rRNA from 1 species